rnacentral:lncRNA from 1 species
CUCAGAGAUGGCCUUGGCCUCACCCAGCUGUGCUGUCCCCACCCAGCCGGCUGCUUUGACAUUUAAAGGACUAGUCCGAUCCUGCUGGGUCGCAUUCUUGAGCAACUCCGGCGCUGUGGCCCUGCACUUUCUGGAGGACUGAGUGUUUUACUCAGCCUUCACCUAUGAGGAGCCCGUGAGACCCAGGCAUGGAGCCCUUUGUGCCUCAGCCAGCCAAGCCCAGAUCCAGCCACGUGGACGUGUGCUGACAGCACCGUCGAUGCACAGUCUCCACCAAGCUGGGACAAAGGCAGAGCUAUCAGUAGCCACGUCGGGUAGAACAGAAGGCAUUCUGGGAACGCGGUGCUCUCACAUCCUGCAAAGUACAGGCCUGCAGAGCAGAUGGCAGGGACUUCAAAAGCUAAGUCACCUUGAAAGAUAAUGGCACAAAGGGCGAUUGGGGGUGGGGUGGGUGGGAGGCUUUUGUACCCUUUUGCAACAAGGAAGCAGAAAAGACAAAAGCUAUUUGCCAGCCUGGUGCGGGAAUCAACAGAAUAGAGAGAUGGUUCUGCUGCAAUUUCCAUCAAGGGUGGCCAAGCCUCCAGUCUUCUUGUCCAGAAGUAAGUGGCAUCAACCAACUCUGCCAAACUGCAUUUCCUGCCUCCUGAUCUGGGGUCUUUUCCUUUUCUUUUUUCACACAGGGAGUAUUUCCAUCCUCUCUGUCCAGGCAGCUGAGCCUUGACAACCUCUCCUCCCCUUCACCAUGCCCCGACUGAUCUCCUAAUGGAGCCCCACCCCUCGAGUCCCUGGGCCUGUGGAAGGAUUUCAUUUUAAAGAGGUUUCAAAGGAGUGGCUGGAAGGCUUGGUGGAAUCGCUUAUUACGGCUCCUCUCCCGGCCCGCAGCUUGGUGGCUGAGCACGUCAUCAUCAUUGGCAGGCAGGUGACUGUUCUAAAUUAGCACCUGGCUCAUUCUGGAGGGCUCUAACUCUUCCUGAGCUUUUUCCAAGAACAACUUUCAUGACUUAUACCUUCUUAUACCUUUCCCACGUUAUCUGUUUGAAAUGAUCCACGGGGCAGGUGAAUUACGUGUCAUCUCCAAGACUCUUGUUUCUGUCGGGCAUGUCUUAAAGACACACACACAUGCAAAGGCUAUGAAAAUGCGACCCCCCAGACCUGGGAAGCUGCAGCCCGUGGAGCCUCAGGGGCAAAGGGAGCAAACUGGCUUGUGAGGGAAGAGCUGCUCUGGUCAGCGGCUGUUGUGGGAUGGGGAGGGAACAGGGUGACCCAAGGGGGCAGGGGCCUGGUGCCAUGUCUGCUCAUGUGCCGCCCUCCUUGUCUCUGGGAUCUGCCCCCAAAAUGCAAGAAACGCGUAAGCCCACUGUAGCAGAUAUGGAGAGACUCCGGGGGAUUUUCCUUUACCUAACUACUCUGCACCUCUGCAAGGGAGAGCAUUAUGGUUUGGAAGAAAUGGAAACGGCAUGGAAGUCCCAUGUGGGCAGAGCCUGCACACCAAACCCUUCUAGACUGCAAAGGGUUUGACUCAGCCCAAAGAGGACUCUGCCAGGAAGCUGUCAGGCACCUGAGGCCACCUGCCUCUCCUCCGCUUCAGGAAUAACCAUCAGUACUGCAUCUUGGCUCUGAGGGGCACUGGGCAUCACGAUGCCCACUCGAAGCAGCUAGGGCACGUUGAUCUCUGCAUCUCCAUACAGAUGUCCGAGGAAAUGAUCCCAUAGCCUCAUCUCUGUUUCAGAGGCAGAGGCAGAGUCCACCAUAAUCUAGCCCAUUGCUCUCAACCAGACAGAGCGCACCUCCUGGCCACUAGGUGAGCAUUUGUC